rnacentral:rRNA from 1 species
AAACAGUCAAAAGAACUAACAGGAUUCCCCUAGUAACUGCGAGUGAAGCGGGAAAAGCUCAAAUUUAAAAUCUGGCAGCCUCUGGCUGUCCGAGUUGUAAUCUAGAGAAGUAAUGCCCGUGCUGGACCGUGUAUAAGUCUCCUGGGAUGGGGCGUCAUAGAGGGUGAGAAUCCCGUCUUUGACACGGACUGCCAGUGCAUUGUGGUAUGCUCUCAAAGAGUCGAGUUGUUUGGGAAUGCAGCUCAGAAUGGGUGGUAAAUUCCAUCUAAAGCUAAAUAUUGGCGAGAGACCGAUAGCGAACAAGUACCGUGAGGGAAAGAUGAAAAGAACUUUGGAAAGAGAGUUAAACAGUACGUGAAAUUGCUGAAAGGGAAACGCUUGAAGUCAGUCACGUUGGCCAGGGAUCAGCCUUGCUUUUGCAUGGUGUACUUUCUGGUUGACGGGUCAGCAUCAAUUUUGACUGCUGGAAAAGGGCCUGGGGAAUGUGGCAGCUUAGGCUGUGUUAUAGCCCCUGGUCGCAUGCAGUGGUUGGGAUUGAGGAACUCAGCACGCCGCAAGGCCGGGUUUCGACCACGUUCGUGCUUAGGAUGCUGGCAUAAUGGCUUUAAGCGACCCGUCUUGAAACACGGACCAAGGAGUCUAACAUGCCUGCGAGUAUUUGGGUGGAAAACCCGAGUGCGCAAUGAAAGUGAAAGUUGAGAUCCCUGUCGUGGGGAGCAUCGACGCCCGGACCAGAACUUUUGGGACGGAUCCGCGGUGGAGCAUGUAUGUUGGGACCCGAAAGAUGGUGAACUAUGCCUGAAUAGGGUGAAGCCAGAGGAAACUCUGGUGGAGGCUCGUAGCGAUUCUGACGUGCAAAUCGAUCGUCAAAUUUGGGUAUAGGGGCCCAAAAAAAAAAUCCAAACCAUCUAGUAGCUGGUCCUGCAUAAUUCCCCCCCAAAAAAAAAAAAAAAUAAAAACCGCCAUACAGGGUGUGUAAGAAACCCCCCCCCCCCCCCCCCCCCGUGCGAAAUAUUUUUGCGGUACAAAAUCCUCCCACCCCCCCAAAAAUUUCCCCUGGCCUCCCCUAAUGCAGGCAUAGAUUCCAUCUUGGCGGUCAACAAACUGCCCCCCGGGAACCCUCCAAAAGUUUUGGGCCGGGCUUCAUUCUCCCGGACGGGGAAUUUACUUUUAUUUUCGGGGCCAAUGGGUUUUUCCCCAAAACCCCCGGGGAGUUUAAAAACCCGGGGGUUGUUUUUUGGAAAGGGGUUUUAAAAUCUUUUCCCCCCCCCCAAAAAGAAAAGGGACAAAGACGCCUGGGGGCGGGGUGUUUAUUCUCCCCCCACCGCCGCGCGGGGGGAUAAAAAAAAAAAAACACCCCCCCCCCCCCUCUUCUCCUAUAAUUAGAUAUUCCCCCCCCCCACAAAAA